GACGAACGCUGGCGGCGUGCUUAACACACGCAAGUCGAACGAAAAUACCAAGCUUGCUUGGUUGAUUAGUGGCGAACGGGUGAGUAACACGUGAGUAACCUGCCCCUUACUUUCUGGAUAACUGCUCGAAAGGGUAGCUAAUACGGGAUAUUCUGGCCUUCCUGCAUGGGUUGGUUUGGAAAGGUUUUUUCUGGUGAGGGACGGGCUCGCGGCCUAUCAGCUUGUUGGUGGGGUGAUGGCCUACCAAGGCUUUGACGGGUAGCCGGCCUGAGAGGGUGGACGGUCACACUGGGACUGAGAUACGGCCCAGACUCCUACGGGAGGCAGCAGUGGGGAAUAUUGCACAAUGGGCGCAAGCCUGAUGCAGCGACGCCGCGUGAGGGAUGAAGGCCUUCGGGUUGUAAACCUCUUUCGUCAGGGAACAAGGCACUGCUUUUGGUGGUGUUGAGGGUACCUGGAUAAGAAGCGCCGGCUAACUACGUGCCAGCAGCCGCGGUAAUACGUAGGGCGCAAGCGUUGUCCGGAAUUAUUGGGCGUAAAGAGCUCGUAGGCGGCUGGUCGCGUCUGUCGUGAAAACUUCCGGCUCAACCGGGGGCUUGCGGUGGGUACGGGCCGGCUAGAGUGCGGUAGGGGUAACUGGAACUCCUGGUGUAGCGGUGGAAUGCGCAGAUAUCAGGAAGAACACCGAUGGCGAAGGCAGGUUACUGGGCCGUUACUGACGCUGAGGAGCGAAAGCGUGGGGAGCGAACAGG
rnacentral:rRNA from 1 species